CGCGGCCUAUCAGCUUGUUGGUGGGGUAACGGCCCACCAAGGCAACGACGGGUAGCUGGUUUGAGAGAACGAUCAGCCACACUGGGACUGAGACACGGCCCAGACUCCUACGGGAGGCAGCAGUGGGGAAUCUUGCGCAAUGGGCGAAAGCCUGACGCAGCAACGCCGCGUGCGGGAUGACGGCCUUCGUGGUUGUAAACCGCUUUCAGCAGGGACGAAAAUGACGGUACCUGCAGAAGAAGCUCCGGCUAACUACGUGCCAGCAGCCGCGGUAAUACGUAGGGGGCGAGCGUUGUCCGGAAUCAUUGGGCGUAAAGAGCUCGUAGGCGGUUCAGUAAGUCGGGUGUGAAAGCUCCGAGCUCAACUCGGAGAGGCCACCUGAUACUGCUGUGACUAGAAUCCAGUAGGGGAGUGUGGAACUCCUGGUGUAGCGGUGAAAUGCGCAGAUAUCAGGAAGAACACCAGCGGCGAAGGCGGCACUCUGGGCUGGUAUUGACGCUGAGGAGCGAAAGUGUGGGUAGCAAACAGGAUUAGAUACCCUGGUAGUCCACACCGUAAACGUUGGGCACUAGGUGUGGGGAGGAUCAACCCUUUCCGUGCCGUAGCUAACGCAUUAAGUGCCCCGCCUGGGGAGUACGGA
rnacentral:rRNA from 1 species